UACGUAGGGGCAAGCGUUGUCCGGAGUUACUGGGCGUAAAGGGUGUGUAGGCGGUUCUUUAAGUUUGGUGUGAAAUCUCCCGGCUCAACCGGGAGGGUGCGCCGAAUACUGAGGGACUAGAGUACGGGAGAGGAAAGUGGAAUUCCUGGUGUAGCGGUGAAAUGCGUAGAUAUCAAGUGGAGCACCAGUGGCGAAGGCGGCUCUCGUGGGACGGUACUGACGCUGAGACGCGAAAGCGUGGGGAGCGAACAGG
rnacentral:rRNA from 1 species